CUAGAGCAGGGAUCAUCGACUAGAUUAGAGCAGGUAUCAACAACUAGAUUAGAACAACUAGAGCAGGGAUCAUCUACUAGAUUAGAGCAACUAGAGCAGGGAUCAUCUACUAGAUUAGAGCAGGUAUCAACAACUAGAUUAGAACAACUAGAGCAGGGAUCAUCUACUAGAUUAGAACAACUAGAGCAGGGAUCAUCUACUAGAUUAGAGCAGGUAUCAACAACUAGAUUAGAACAACUAGAGCAGGGAUCAUCUACUAGAUUAGAGCAGGUAUCAACAACUAGAUUAGAACAACUAGAGCAGGGAUCAUCUAGAUUAGAGCAGGUAUCAACAACUAGAUUAGAACAACUCGAGCAGGGAUCAUCUACUAGAUUAGAGCAGGUAUCAACAACUAGAUUAGAACAACUAGAGCAGGGAUCAUCUACUAGAUUAGAACAACUAGAGCAGGGAUCAUCUACUAGAUUAGAGCAGGUAUCAAAAACUAGAUUAGAGCAGGUAUCAACAACUAGAUUAGAACAACUAGAGCAGGGAUCAUCUACUAGAUUAGAACAACUAGAGCAGGGAUCAUCGACUAGAUUAGAGCAGGUAUCAACAACUAGAUUAGAACAACUAGAGCAGGGAUCAUCUACUAGAUUAGAACAACUAGAGCAGGGAUCAUCGACUAGAUUAGAGCAGGUAUCAACAACUAGAUUAGAACAACUAGAGCAGGUAUCAACAACUAGAUUAGAACAACUAGAGCAGGGAUCAUCUACUAGAUUAGAACAACUAGAGCAGGGAUCAUCUACUAGAUUAGAACAACUAGAGCAGGAUCAUCUACUAGAUUAGAACAACUAGAGCAGGGAUCACCUGCUAGAUUAGAAGAACUAGAGCAGGGAUCAUCUACCUGAACAGGGAUCAUCUACUAGAUUAGAACAACUAGAGCAGGGAUCAUCUACUAGAUUAGAACAACAAGAGCAGGGAUCAUCUACUAGAUUAGAACAACUAGAGCAGGGAUCAUCUACUAGAUUAGAACAACUAGAGCAGGGAUCAUCUACUAGAUUAGAGCAGGUAUCAACAACUAGAUUAGAACAACUAGAGCAGGGAUCAUCUACUAGAUUAGAACAACUAGAGCAGGGAUCAUCUACUAGAUUAGAACAACUAGAGCAGGGAUCAUCUACUAGAUUAGAGCAGGUAUCAAAAACUAGAUUAGAGCAGGUAUCAACAACUAGAUUAGAACAACUAGAGCAGGGAUCAUCUACUAGAUUAGAGCAGGUAUCAACAACUAGAUUAGAACAACUAGAGCAGGGAUCAUCUAGAUUAGAGCAGGUAUCAACAACUAGAUUAGAACAACUCGAGCAGGGAUCAUCUACUAGAUUAGAGCAGGUAUCAACAACUAGAUUAGAGCAACUAGAGCAGGGAUCAUCUACUAGAUUAGAGCAACUCAAGCAGGGAUCAUCUACUAGAUUAGAACAACUAGAGCAGGGAUCAUCUACUAGGUUAGAACAACUAGAGCAGGGAUCAUCUACUAGGUUAGAACAACUAGAGCAGGGAUCAUCUACUAGAUUAGAACAACUAGAGCAGGGAUCAUCUACUAGGUUAGAACAACUAGAGCAGGGAUCAUCUACUAGAUUAGAACAACUAGAGCAGGGAUCAUCUACUAGAUUAGAACAACUAGAGCAGGGAUCAUCUACUAGAUUAGAACAACUAGAGCAGGGAUCAUCUACUAGAUUAAAACAACUAGAGCAGGGAUCAUCUACUAGAUUAAAACAACUAGAGCAGGGAUCACCUACUAGAUUAGAACAACUAGAGCAGGGAUCAUCUACUAGAU